UAUUUGCUUGAAAUCUCUUCCUGCUGUGUAUGGUUGAAGCAAACAAAUUUUAUUUGUUCCGUGGCAUUGUAAAUGUUGUAUAUGUGGUGUAAGUGAAGGAUGAACCUGAUGUUAAGAUUGUGCAGGUUCUUUCUCUUAAAGUUGUCUCGUAAAUAAAACGAUAGGUAAUCCAAUUAAUAUGUUCUUGUCACAGGGAGGCAUCAUGACUUCCCACCAACAGUCAAGCACAAAGAGUUGCAGCAGUGCCAAUUCUACCAUUGUGACAGUUGCAACUACAAGACUGCCAGGUUGUCCGCUCUCGUUGUACACAAGUGCAGACGCAUAGAAUCAAGGCCUUCUAUUUCUUCAUCAACAGCCGAGGGUGAGAAAUCACACCAGAGACACCUCUACAGCUGUCAAUUCUGUGACCAUCACACUAAUAACCUGCGAGAUCUUGAAAAACACACCACGGUUCAUACUGGCAAGCGACUAUUUAAAUGCCAUUUCUGCCCUCAUAGCUUCUCACAAAAGACCGAUUUGAACAAGCACCUGCGCAUCCACACGGGUGAGCGUCCGUUUAAAUGCCAUUUCUGCCCUCGGAGCUUCUCACAAGGACCCACCCUGAAACGACACCUGCGCACCCACACAGGCGAGAAGCCAUUUCAGUGCCCUUCAUGCACUCGGGGAUUCUCGCAGAAACAUUCCAUGAAGCGACACCUGCGCAUUCAUACAAGUGACCGACCACACCGCGGCACCAUCCGCACUAUGUCUUUUGUGCAGGCUGAUUACUUGAGUGAACAUAAAGAAAGAAAGCACCCCGAGACUGUAGAUUAGGUCAACAGCCAUGUUGAACUAGCCUGAAUUAGGCUAUAUGAACAGGUGUACUACCUAUAUUUCGAUUGCAAUAAAACCUCGUUAAUUCAGAGAA